rnacentral:lncRNA from 1 species
UUCCUCAGAGCAGCCCAGCAGCCGAGCGCGAGGAGAAGCACACGCCAGGUACAGAAAUGGAGAACCUCAAUGUCCCACUCCCAGAUCUCAGUGAAGAGCAGCAAGACAUUUUCCAGAGGGCUUUUAUUGCUGAUGACAAUUACUUGGAGAAUCACGAGAAAAUGAACCAGUCCUUUUGGGAAUUACUUGUAAAAAUCUUAGCCACCACUGACCCACCUAUCCUGGCCACUGAAGAGAAG